ensembl:lncRNA
CGAUUGCCGGGGGAGCAGGGGAGGAGUGUGAAAUGUUUCUUAGCUUAGGUGAGGAGAGCAUAAGUUGCCAGUGCGGUGAAUCAUCGAUGGGAUCCCGUGACCACACAGGCGGGGGGGAUUAGGUGAGAGCUGGGGAACUUCCUCUAGGAGGGAAGCAUUCACCAUUGCAGUAGAAAAUCAGGACGUCUGGAGCGGAAAAGGUGUGCUCGAAGCUGUGUGUCCUCAUGUCAAGAAGCAGCGGACCGGCUCCCCACUGUGAAGCACCUGAAGGCUGCAGCCCAUUACAGGUCCAGAGUCAUUAAAAAUGGAUGCAGGGAGCUCUGCCCCAGUUGCACUGGCUCCCUGGUUGAUCCCGGGGCUGCUGAGGCUACAUGAAUCAACAGCCCAUCCACUUCAGGUGUGUCUCCCUACCUCUUCUCGAGGGUGAACUUUGGCGUCGGCAGUGUGGCUGGUCUGCCGUGGCAGUUGCAGGGCCCAGCGCGGCUGCCGCAUCGUGUGCGUGGCGUCCCAUGUGCGGCACGGCGCGUCUUUUGUGUCUCCCCAUUCCGCGUCAUCGACGGCGCCUGCCUGUCUGC